rnacentral:rRNA from 1 species
AUACGGAGGAUCCAAGCGUUAUCCGGAUUUAUUGGGUUUAAAGGGAGCGUAGGUUGACAUAUAAGUCAGCUGUGAAAGUUUACGGCUCAACCGUGAAAUUGCAGUUGAUACUGUAUGUCUUGAGUGUACAAGAGGUGGGCGGAAUUCGUGGUGUAGCGGUGAAAUGCUUAGAUAUCACGAAGAACUCCAAUUGCGAAGGCAGCUCACUGGGGUACAACUGACACUGAGGCUCGAAAGUGUGGGUAUCAAACAGGAUUAGAUACCCUGGUAGUCCACACAGUAAACGAUGAAUACUCGCUGUUUGCGAUAUACAGUAAGCGGCCAAGCGAAAGCAUUAAGUAUUCCACCUGGGGAGUACGCCGGCAACGGUGAAACUCAAAGGAAUUGAC